GCAGAGUUGCCAGCCAGACACAGAGGGAGUCGGAGGUAAAAAUAAAGGAAAGCUCAGCCUCAGGAGAGCAGUUCCGACAUCUGACCAGGUAAUCUGAACCUUUCCACGUGGGAGGAAGACUAUUUGUUCAGGGCACAGACGGACAUCUUCCUGUUUCCAAGGUCCAGCUGCUUCUGUUAAUGCUGUUGGAUUGUGGGUAAUCCAUCUACAUCAAAUGGCUUUACCUGUCCUAACCAGUCACUGGGAUGGAGGAAGGAGUCCUCUGAGAGACCCAUACUCUAUGGUGAGGCAGCAAUCAUGGCAGCCUGGCUUCAAUCCACAGCUACAGCCAUCAUGAAUGUGUUCUGCACAAACGGCCCAUCUGGGGUUGGAGAGGUGGCUCAGAGGUUAAGAGCACUGGUUGCCCUUCCAGAGGUCCUGAGUUCAAUUUCCAGCAACCACAUGGUG